GGAGGGGUCGCAUAGCGGUCUAGUGCGCAACCCUGGAAAGGUUGUGUGUCCGAAAGGGCACCGGGAGUUCGAAUCUCCCCCCCUCCG
rnacentral:tRNA from 1 species